rnacentral:tRNA from 1 species
UCCUCAGUAGCUCAAUGGCAGAGCACUCGGCUGUUAACCGAGUUGUUGUAGGUUCGAGCCCUACCUGUGGAG